rnacentral:rRNA from 1 species
GACGAACGCUGGCGGCGUGCUUAACACAUGCAAGUCGAACGGAAAGGCCCUGCUUUUGCGGGGUGCUCGAGUGGCGAACGGGUGAGUAACACGUGAGUAACCUGCCCUUGACUUUGGGAUAACUUCAGGAAACUGGGGCUAAUACCGGAUAGGAGCUCCUGCUGCAUGGUGGGGGUUGGAAAGUUUAGGCGGUUGGGGAUGGACUCGCGGCUUAUCAGCUUGUUGGUGGGGUAGUGGCUUACCAAGGCUUUGACGGGUAGCCGGCCUGGGAGGGUGACCGGCCACAUUAGUACUGCGGGACGGCCCAGACUCCUACGGGAGGCAGCAGUGGGGAGUCUUGCACAAUGGGGGGACGCGUGAUGCAGAAACGCCGCGUGCGGGAUGACGGCCUUCUGGUUGUAAACCGCUUUCGCCUGUGACGAAGCGUGAGUGACGGUAAUGGGUAAAGAAGCACCGGCUAACUACGUG